GUGAGGAAUAUUGCUCAAUGGGCGAAAGCCUGAAGCAGCGACGCCGCGUGAGGGAUGAAAUCCGUUAGGAUGUAAACCUCUUUUACAGGGGAUGAAUGUCCCGAUUAUCGGGAUUGACCGUACCCUGUGAAUAAGCACCGGCCAACUACGUGCCAGCAGCCGCGGUAAUACGUAGGGUGCAAGCGUUGUCCGGAAUUACUGGGUGUAAAGGGUCCGCAGGCGGGCAAGCAAGUCGGUGGUGAAAGUCUUUGGCUCAACCAAAGAACUGCCUUCGAUACUGCUUGUCUUGAGUUCGAGAGAGGAUAAUGGAAUUCAUGGUGUAGCGGUGAAAUGCGUAGAGAUCAUGAAGAACACCAGUAGCGAAGGCGGUUAUCUGGCUCGAUACUGACGCUCAGGGACGAAAGCGUGGGUAGCAAACAGGAUUAGAUACCCCUGUAGUCC
rnacentral:rRNA from 1 species